AUUGAACGCUGGCGGAAUGCUUUACACAUGCAAGUCGAACGGCAGCACGGGGGCAACCCUGGUGGCGAGUGGCGAACGGGUGAGUAAUACAUCGGAACGUGCCCAGUCGUGGGGGAUAACUACGCGAAAGCGUAGCUAAUACCGCAUACGAUCUACGGAUGAAAGCGGGGGAUCGCAAGACCUCGCGCGAUUGGAGCGGCCGAUGGCAGAUUUAGGUAGUUGGUGGGGUAAAGGCUCACCAAGCCUUCGAUCUGUAGCUGGUCUGAGAGGACGACCAGCCACACUGGGACUGAGACACGGCCCAGACUCCUACGGGAGGCAG
rnacentral:rRNA from 1 species